UACGAAGGGUGCAAGCGUUACUCGGAAUUACUGGGCGUAAAGCGUGCGUAGGUGGUUCGUUAAGUCUGAUGUGAAAGCCCCGGGCUCAACCUGGGAAUUGCAUUUGAGACUGAAUAGCUAGGGUGCGGAAGAGGGAAGCGGAAUUUCCGGUGUAGCGGUGAAAUGCGUAGAUAUCGGAAGGAACACCAGUGGCGAAAGCGGCUUCCUGGUCCAGCACCGACGUUCAGGCACGAAAGCGUGGGGAGCAAACAGG
rnacentral:rRNA from 1 species